GACGAACGCUGGCGGCGUGCUUAACACAUGCAAGUCGAACGGAUUUUCUCUGCUUUUGUGUGGUUCUCGAGUGGCGAACUGGUUAGUAACACGUUAGUAACCUGCCCUUUACUUUGGGAUAACUUCAGGAAACUGGGUCUAAUACCGGUUAUGAUCUCCUGCUGCUUGGUUUGGGUUGUAAAGUUUCGGCGGUUGGGGAUGGACUCGCGGCUUUUCACCUUGUUGGUGGGGUAGUGGCUUACAAAGGCUUUGACGGGUAGCCGGACUGAGAUGGUGACCGGCCACAGAGGGACACAGAUGCGGCCAAGACUCAUACGGGAGGCAGCAGUGGGAAAUAGUGCAAGAUGGGCGGAAGCAGGAUGCAGCAACGCCGCGUGCGGGAUGACGGCUGUCAGGUUGGAAACAGCUUGCGACUGGGAAGAAGAGUGAGUGACGGUAAUGAGUAAAGAAGCAACGGCUAACUACGUG
rnacentral:rRNA from 1 species